CCUACGGGAGGCAGCAGUGGGGAAUAUUGCACAAUGGGGGAAACCCUGAUGCAGCGACGCCGCGUGAGUGAAGAAGUCUUUCGGUAUGUAAAGCUCUAUCAGCAGGGAAGAAAUAGCGACCUUUGGGUCGCCAGCCGGUACCUGACUAAGACGCCCCGGCUAACUACGUGCCAGCAGCCGCGGUAAUGCGUAGGGGGCAAGCGUUAUCCGGAUUUACUGGGUGGAAAGGGGGCGUAGACGGCAGCACAAGUCUGAAGUGAAAUGCCGGGGCUUAACCCCGGAACUGCUUUGGAAACUGUGGAGCUAGAGAGCAGGAGAGGUAAGUGGAAUUCCUAGUGUAGCGGUGAAAUGCGUAGAUACUAGGAGGAACACCAGUGGUGAAGGCGGCUUACUGGACUGUAACUGACGUUGAGGCUCGAAAGCGUGGGGAGCAAACAGGAUUAGAUACCCCUGUAGUC
rnacentral:rRNA from 1 species